GAAAAUUCAUAUGUGAGAAUUGCACCUUAAAAUCUGGGACUGAGUAACAACACCUUAUAAACCAGUUGGCCUCAAUGGACAUUGCCUACACAGCAAGUUCCUCUAACUUCGUGCUCCAAGACAGGUCUCUCCUCCAGAGCUGACGGUGGAUUUACAGACCAAAGCAUGUCCCCAUGGAACUCUCACCUCCAGGGGCGUGCCUCGGAACUGCCAUCCUCCAGGGGUGACCUAGGAACUCAUACGCACCAGGACAGCACAUCGAAAGCAUGACCACUUGGCUACUUUUACAACUGAACUCUGCACAGGAAGGUGCCAACUCAACUGCCUGAGAGAGAUUUGGAUAUCCACCUUCCUGUUGACUUGCCCAGAUGUCUAUCACGGUGCCUUCCGUAUCCCAGGAGGACGUUGAACAUUGGCAGGCAUGCCUAGCUGAAAGCCGAUGCACCGAGGCCUGCUCCAUGCUAAGGCUGUAAUUCUUCACCCCAAGAAUCUUCAUUCUGGUCUUCAAGUAUUCAAGGCUUAUCCAAAGUUGCAUCAUCCAUCAUUAUUCUCGGGCAUAUUAAAGCCGUGACUUUGCUUGCCCUCAGGAAAUUAAACAUCUGUCAGUCACCAGGAGUCACAAUCCACAGAAGACAGUGAGUAGGAGGAUGCCACAGAACCCAUCGUGUUUCCUGCCGUAUUAAAGCAGGGCUGUGCUGUCAUCAGCCUGCGAUGUGCCAUUUAUUAUGCAGCACCCCAUCAUCUGGCUUCUGUCUCAACCAACAUACUGAAACUGCUUCAUAAAGUCAUCAGUGUAUUUUUAAUUGCCAAGUUGAUUGGACAUUUCACAGCCAUUAUUCCUGACUUUUAUAAGCAUUUGACAUGACUGAUCAUUCAUUUCUUGAAAUUCUGUUUUUUCCAGACGGCCGUGAUAAACACUCUGAACAUUGUUCUUGCGCUUUCACGGCUAUCCCAUUUCUUUUUUUUCUAAUGCCUUUUGUUCCUCCCCAUUCCUUGAGUAUGGGUGUUCCCCAGACCUGUUGCUUCAGUCGUGUGGUCUAAAUACAUACUUUCCCUAGGAACUGUAUUCUCUAAUGUAGAAGAAUAAUGUUCCUUUACUUAUGUAUGUUGUAUUGAUCAAGCUUUUAGUAUGACAACAUAUACUAUAUUAAGUUCUGAGGAUAAUAUCACAGGGAAAAAUCUCUGGCUUUAAGGAAUAUAUUGUCCAAUGGGAGAAACAUAAAAGCAAGCAAGCAAUUACAAGGCAAUGAACUACUGUGAUGAUGGGGAUGUACAGGGUUCAGGGCACACACAGGAGGAUAGCUAACUUACACUUGGGAAAUUAGAGAAGAUUCUCAUAGGAAAAAAAUCACCAAUGUGUCAUCAUAAUAAUAACAGAAGCAGUAGGGCAUUCCAAGCCAAGACAGCACUGUGCUUGAGGAGCUGUAAUUCAGCUACAUAGUUCAGUAGAUCAGCUAUUGAAUCAAGGACAAUAGGAGAGGUUGGGUCACACAGAUGCUGAACAAUCAACCUACUGGGAUGAAGGACAUUGUGUGCACCACUGCAGCCUUUGGUUCUCACGCCGACAGCCCUGAGGAUUCACAGACUUCAAAGAAGAGCAUGACUUAAUGUUUCAGAAGGUUUUUGGAAGCUCACUCCAUACAAAAGAAGGAUUAGAAGUAGGAUAUACAGUUAGCAAUCAGCACCCACGGGCUCUGCAUCCAUGGGUUCAACCACGUGCAGAUUGAAAAGGCAGUUAGGCCUAUGAUCAUUGCAUCUCUACUGAAAAAUGUACAGACUUGAUGUUAUUCCCCAAACGAUACAGUAAAACAACUGUUUCCAUAGCAUUUACAUCACGUUAGGUAUUAUAGGCAGUCUAGAGAUGGUUUAAGUACACGGAGUAUGUGUGUCAGUGACAUGCAAACAAGACACCGUUUUGUAUAAGGGACUUGAGCAUCUGUGGAUUUUGGUAAAAAAAUUCAUGGGGUUCCUGGAAGCAAUCCCUAGCAGAUACCAAGGGAUGACUGAAUUUGAGAUAAGAACAAUAUCUAAGAACUCUCCAGCUCAGUUUGAUAAAAUAUUACUUAAGCCUACUAUGUACCAAGCACUUUAAAGUGCUGAGUGUUAAAGGCUUGCUUAAGAGUAAUGUGUAUAGUAAAAUCCCAUUAAAUCAAAGCCAAACAUCAAAGAAAAACAAAAAAGAACUCUAAUGUUCUUUUAAGUAUGUGUGUAACCUAUGUUUAUACAUGUAGUAUUAUUCUGGAGUAAACUACUGUAACUGGGCUGGGUGUGGUGGCUCGGGCCCAUAAUCCUGGCACGUUGGGAGGCCAGGGCGGGUGGAUCACGAAGUCAAGAGAUCGAGACCAUCCUGGCCAACAUGGUGAAACCUGGUCUCUACUAAAAACACAAAAAUUAUCUGUGUGUGGUGGUGCACGCCUGUAGUCCCAGCUACUCGGGAGGCUGAGGCAGGAGAAUCGCUUGAACCUGGGAGGUGGAGGUUGCAGUGAGCUGAGAUUGUGCUGUUGCACUCCAGCCUGGGUGACAGAGUGAGACUCCAUCUCAAAAAAAAAAACUGCGUAACUCAGUUACCCAAACCAAAAAUGCUUCACUCUUUAGUUUCCUCUUCCUCAUAUCCAGUUAUCCCAUCUGUUCCAAUUCUAAAGGAGCCCUUGUAUACGCUUAUUUUUCUAUCUGCAUUGCCACCGUCCCAAUCUACACCACCACCACCUCUUGCCUAACCUCUGCCAUUAGUGUCUUAACUUGCUCUUGGGUUUCUAUGCUUCUUCCCCUAUGAGCUCUUCUCCACCUGGCAGACAGAAUAAUCUUCAUGUGAGUGAGUCCGACUGUAUCAUUCCGCACCUGAAAUCCUCCAAUGACUUCUCACUGCAUUUAAGAUGAAGUGAAACUCUGUCCCACGCCCUAUAAGGCCUCAUGUAAUCUGACCCUGCACACUUCUUUACUCUCUUCUUAUGCUGUUCUGCUCCACCCACUUCUCCAACUAUAUGCACUCAAUGAUUCAGCAGUUUUUAGAAUAGGCUGUGAUAUUCUCACAUAUUUCUAUCUAUAAGAUACAUACUUUUCACCGCCUCCACCGUUCCACCCUGAUCCAUAACACCACCAUUUCGUGACUGGCUACUCAAUUUCUUAUCUGGGCUUCCUGCUUCUGUUUUUCCGUACAGCAGCCAAAGUGACUCUGUCAAAAUGUAAACCAAAUUAUGUUGCUCUCCUGCUAAAAUCCUUCAAUAGCAUCUCAUCACAUUUAAAAUAAAAUUCAAUACCCUGACCCUAAUUAACCAAACCUCACAUACCUAACUGGCUCCUCCCUAGCCUCCGCUUCCUCCUGUGGCCCCCAUUCCACCUCGCCACAGCCACCUGGACUCCCCACUGUUCUUCCAACAUAGCAAUGCACCUAAGAUCCCCACUGCUCCCCUGCCAGGAGCCCUCUGUCCCGAGACAUCUUUGGGGCUCUUGCCUUCAUGUCAAUUUUCUAUUCAAAUAGCAUCUCCUUAAAAAGACCUUCCCUGGCCACUCCCACAUCCUUACACUUCCCCUAGUCACUACCUUUUUUUAAAAAAAAAGAACUUUAUUGAGGCUGGGCGUGGUGGCUCUCGCCUGUAAUCUCAGCACUUUGGGAGGCUGUGGCGGGCAGAUCACUUGAGGACAGGAGAUCAAGACCAGCUUGGCCAACAUGGUAAAAUCCCAUCUCUACUAAAAAUACAAAAAUUAGCCAAGCGCAGUAACGCACACCUGUAGUACCAGCUACUUGGGAGGCGGAGGCAGGAGAAUUGCUUGAACCAGGGAGGCAGAGGUUGCAGUGGGCCGAGAUCAUGCCACUGCACUCCAGCCUGGGCAACAGAGCAAGACACUGUCUCAAAAAGAAAAAUAAAAAAUAAAAAGACCUUUAUUGAGAUAUAAUUUACAUAUCAUAAAAUUCAUCUAAUUUUCAAUUCAAUGAUUUUAGUAUGAUUCAGUGAUUUUAGUAAACUUGCUUAGUCUGCAACCAUCACCAUAAUCCAGUUUUAGAACAUUUCCAUCUUUCCAGUAAGUUCCCUCAGGCCAGUCAGCAGUGAAUCCCCAUUCCCUCUCUCAGCCCUGGGUAAAUGAAACUGACCCAGUGGUCUCAUAGAUAUUUUCUGAUAAAUAUAGGAAUUGACCCUUCUAAUCUUAAAGCUUGAAACUUAUAUUUGUUUAAUCUGAGUUCCUCCCUCAGAAAAUGACCAUCAGGUCUCUCAAAAAAAAGUAUCAAACAACUGAAACUCACCAGAUCAUCACAUCCAGACAAUGAGAUGCCAGACCCCUCAUUCACCGUGAUGGCUUCCUUGCGUCUCCCUAGUUCCUGUUUUCUUACACACAGUUGCAUUUUUUUUCCCUGUUAUAUAAACUCCUGGUUUUAGCAGGUCAGGGAGGUGGAUUUGAGAGUGAGUUUCCAUCUCCUCAGCUGCAGCACCUGAUUAAAGAUUCUUCCUUGGCAAUACUCGUCGUCUCAAUCAUUGGCUUUCUGUGCAGCGAGUAGCAGGACCUUGACCGAACCCCUGGUGUUUCGGUAACAUAAACACUAAUCUACCUUCUUUUUCCAUAGAUUUGCCUUUUCUAAACAUCCCGUAUGAACAGAAUGGUUAAAAUAUGUGGUCUUUGAAACCUGUCUUCUUGAUAUAUUAUACUUAAAAUAAUGCGUUCAACUAAUUCUAUUGAACAUUCACUCUAUGCCAUAUAUAUAGUAAUAUUACAUAUAUAUAAUCCCAUGCUCUAGUGAGGAGAAUAGAGUGAACAAAUCAUCAUACAAACAAUGUCAAAUUUCAUGGAAGUUUCAUGAUGCUCUGGGAGCAUGGCUGGGAGUGGGGAAGGCUUGCCUGUGGAGCAGUAUUUGACUGUGACUGAAGAAUAGCAGUUAGCUAGGCAAAGGGCAAGUGUUUCAGAUAGAGGGGUCAGGACAUGCCUAAUAAUAGAAGGGAGUGUGUUUAACACGACUGCUGGAGAAAGUACUUGGCUGGAGCUCUGAGAGGGAAAGAAGGACGGUGGAGACAAGGCUUUCCCAUCACUUUCUAUCCCUGUAUGUAUGUUAUUUCACUAUUCUCUCAAAAGUUAUCACUAGCUGACAUUGCAGUGUGUAUAUACUGUUUGCAUCCUUCAUUACAACAUAAACUUAUUGAGAGUAUAAACUUCGAUUUGUUUUAUUACUAUUAUUCCAAUAUUUAGAAGAGGGUUUGACAUAAUAAGCAUUCAAUAAAUACUUGUUGAAUGAAAAAAUCGAAUAAGAGAUUGGGGAGCCCUAAUAAUUAACACAUUAAGAAUGCAGACAUUUGUUAAUUAGAAUAAAUUAAGUAGCUUCUGAGAGCCGUCUUACGCAACAUCUUAAUACAGCUAAGCUAUGUUCAGAUGAGAGGAAUUCGGUGAAAUAAUGAAUUUGGGGGGGAAAUACUAGCAGAUUUACUUUUUAACUAAUAAUAGACUGGAAAUAUUUAAAGUAUAAUGAACUACUUAACAUUGUUAUAUGUUAAUAACUUCUUUAAAUUGAUCAAUGAUUUUUAUUAGUGAUAUCUUUUGAAUACUAAUUUCAUUCUUUUUUGACCUCAUAGAUUAAUUUCAUAAAUGCAAUCAGCUGAAUGUAACUUAAUAAAGAUGUGGCUUCCAACAUUUAAAUGUUGUCAGGAAGAAAAACAAUGACUUUCUUAGUUAUUUUCAUAAAACAAGAUGACUUUCUGUGGAGUAAUUCUCAUAAGAGAGUAAGUACAGGGUGAAUAAAAUAUGCUAGAAACAUGUAUCUAUUUCAAAAGUAUAUUUAAAUAGGAUUUUUUUAAUAAUAAGCCACAUUUUAGGUCCAUGGAUUUCAAUACACUUUUUCUUUAGAAAAAAAAUCAAAUUUUUAUGACUUCAUUUAGUUUUAAUAAAAAUAUUUUAUUUAAUAAAAUUAUAUUGUAUAAGGUCAUUCAUACUAUAUUGAUGAUUGCUCCAAUUAUGAAACCUAGCCAAAUUUAGACAGGUUUCAAAUAAAUCAGUGCUUUUAAAAAAGUAAGCCCCAAUUGUACAUUGUGUUAUAAACUGAAAGUCUUAUGUUAUGGAAACAAAGAUGUUACUUCUCAAAAACAAUGUAAUUAUCAUUUCAAGGUGGCAAGUCAAUCUAGAAAUCAGAUUCCAUUGAGAUGCUGUAAAAGUUCUGUUUAUCACAAAAUAAGUCAACAGAUUCAAAAUCGUCUCUAAACAACAGAUCGAUAAAAAUGCCUAAAAAUAUCAUUUAAUUUAUUCCAAAGUAUUUCCUGAGGACAUUCUUUUCAGGAAAGGCUGCUUGCUUUAGGAUUCCAAACAAACGAAGCCCAGAAGCUUCCCGGAAAGCCCUGAAGGUGCUCCUGGAAGAAUGUGCUCUCUGCAGCUGUGUAAACAAUGAUGUUGACGCAGAAUUGGAAAUGCCCAUUUUUGAAAGGGACCUGCAACCAACCAUUUGAAACCAGCACGUUGCCUGAUAUUCCCACUAAAUGUCUAAUCAGUAAAUGUUAGUAAGAAAAAUAUUUUCCUCCAAAGGACAAGUUAGAGCUUUGUAUAGUGUCAGUAGUUAAAAGUUUUUCUGUAUAACCACAAAUCAUAUCGUCCCCAACUAUCAAAUCUACUUUUACCCCUUAGGGUCAUUCAGGAAGAAAAAUAAGCUCACCUUGGGGACGGACUAGUCACUGGAGGUAAAGAAGAGAAUGGAAUCUAGGGUGGCUCUUAGACUUACAGCUUGUAUUUAUAUGAGACUGCGCAUGGUAAAUAAGGUUUUAAGUGGCAUGUGUUAUAGUUGUCAAAUUUGUAGAAACAUACACAUUGAUGCAUUAUAAUUAUUCUGCCUUUAAACAAAGUGCUUAAUACCACAUUUAAAUUGCAAAUGUUGACUUCAAUCGAAUCUCCUGAUGUUAAUAAAAUAUUAGAAACUC